GGGGUCAAAGAAUGCUAGGUGUUGGAGGGUUUCCGCCCUUCAGUGCCGCAGCUAACGCAUUAAGCAUUCCGCCUGGGGAGUACGACCGCAAGGUUGAAACUCAAAGGAAUUGACGGGGGCCCGCACAAGCGGUGGAGCAUGUGGUUUAAUUCGAAGCAACGCGAAGAACCUUACCAGGUCUUGACAUCUUUUGAUCACCUGAGAGAUCAGGUUUCCCCUUCGGGGGCAAAAUGACAGGUGGUGCAUGGUUGUCGUCAGCUCGUGUCGUGAGAUGUUGGGUUAAGUCCCGCAACGAGCGCAACCCUUAUGACUAGUUGCCAGCAUUUAGUUGGGCACUCUAGUAAGACUGCCGGUGACAAACCGGAGGAAGGUGGGGAUGACGUCAAAUCAUCAUGCCCCUUAUGACCUGGGCUACACACGUGCUACAAUGGAUGGUACAACGAGUUGCGAGACCGCGAGGUCAAGCUAAUCUCUUAAAGCCAUUCUCAGUUCGGACUGUAGGCUGCAACUCGCCUACACGAAGUCGGAAUCGCUAGUAAUCGCGGAUCAGCACGCCGCGGUGAAUACGUUCCCGGGCCUUGUACACACCGCCCGUCACACCAUGAGAGUUUGUAACACCCGAAGCCGGUGGCGUAACCCUUUUAGGGAGCGAGCCGUCUAAGGUGGGACAAAUGAUUAGGGUGAAGUCGUACAAGGGGUAACCGGNGG
rnacentral:rRNA from 1 species